rnacentral:rRNA from 1 species
AAACCAGCACCUCAAGUGGUCAGGAUGAUUAUUGGGCCUAAAGCAUCCGUAGCCGGCUCUGUAAGUUUUCGGUUAAAUCUGUACGCUUAACGUACAGGCUGCCGGGAAUACUGCAGAGCUAGGGAGUGGGAGAGGUAGACGGUACUCGGGAGGAAGUGGUAAAAUGCUUUGAUCUCUCGAUGACCACCUGUGGCGAAGGCGGUCUACCAGAACACGUCCGACGGUGAGGGAUGAAAGCUGGGGGAGCAAACCGGAUUAGAAACCCCAGUAGUCC